rnacentral:rRNA from 1 species
AACGAACGCUGGCGGCAGGCUUAACACAUGCAAGUCGAGCGCCCCGCAAGGGGAGCGGCAGACGGGUGAGUAACGCGUGGGAAUCUACCCAUCUCUACGGAAUAACGCAUGGAAACGUGUGCUAAUACCGUAUACGUCCUUCGGGAGAAAGAUUUAUCGGAGAUGGAUGAGCCCGCGUUGGAUUAGCUAGUUGGUGGGGUAAAGGCGUACCAAGGCGACGAUCCAUAGCUGGUCUGAGAGGAUAAUCAGCCACACUGGGACUGGGACACGGCCCAGACUCCUACGGGAGGCAGCAGUGGGGAAUAUUGGACAAUGGGCGCAAGCCUGAUCCAGCCAUGCCGCGUGAGUGAUGAAGGCCCUAGGGUUGUAAAGCUCUUUCACCGGUGAAGAUAAUGACGGUAACCGGAGAAGAAGCCCCGGCUAACUUCGUGCCAGCAGCCGCCGUAAGAC